CCAAGGAGUCUAACAUGUGCGCGAGUCAUUGGGACUUGUAUAAGCCUAAAGGCGCAAUGAAAGUGAAGGUCGUCCCUAGCGUCGACCGAGGGAGGAUGGUCAGCUCCAAGGAGCUGGCUCGCACUCCCGGGGCGUCUCAUGCUCAUUACGAGCAGAGGCGCACCUAGAGCGUACACGUUGGGACCCGAAAGAUGGUGAACUAUGCCUGGUCAGGACGAAGUCAGGGGAAACCCUGAUGGAGGUCCGUAGCGAUUCUGACGUGCAAAUCGAUCGUCGGAACUGGGUAUAGGGGCGAAAGACUAAUCGAACCAUC
rnacentral:rRNA from 1 species